rnacentral:misc_RNA from 1 species
UCUCUCCACCUGUGCACAUUUUGUAGUCUUUCGAUAUCUCUCGAGGCAACUCGGAUUUUAGAAUCGUCGUGCUGUACAAGUCGGCUUUUCUUUCCUUUCCAAGACUAUGUUUUUAUAUAUACCAAAGUAUGUUUAAAGAAUGUCAUCAAUAGGAACUUGUUUCCUAUAAAAUCAUACAAC